AGAGGAUAUGUGCAAUCGAAACAAUGGAACUGCUCAUCAGUAAUAAUUCUCUGGCUCUGAAGCAAUCUGAGAUCUCCUGAGGAGUGAUCACUUGACGCAUCCUUGUCUAUGAUGCUACAAUACUGAAGCGACUGUGACUGCUGGUUAUGUGAUGACAUCUUGCCCUUUGCCCAGCCUCAAUAACCUAUGCUGCCAGACCUGAGUUUCUGCAGUAAUUCCUGAAUCUGUUCCUAAUUUGCAAAAUCUCUCUUCAUCCUGGUAACCAAAGAAAACACAUGCAACGUGCCUCAAUGACUACUGCCUGGUGGCUCUGACCUCCAUCACUAUGAAAUGCUUUGAGAGAUUAGUCUUAGCUCAUAUUAAUUCUAGCCUCCCAACCUGCCUCAAUCCCUUGUAAUUUGCCCAAUGGUGCAACUGGUCCACAGCAGAUGCCAUCUCCCUAGCCCUAUAUCCAUCCAUAGAACAUCUGAAUAAUAAGAAUACCUCUGUCAGGUUUCUACUUAUUGACUACAACUCCACCUUCAACACUAUCAUUACAACCAAACUAAUCUCAAAACUCCGAAACCCAGGUCUCAGUUCCGCCCUCUGCAAUUGGAUCCUCAGCUUUCUGACCCACAGACCAUAAUCAGUGAAGAUAGACAAUAGCAUCUCCUCCAAGAUAAUCCUCAACACUGGCACCCUGCAAGAAUGCAUUCUCAGCCCCUUACUGUCCUCCCUGUACACUCACACUGUGUGGCCAACUCCCAUCUGAACUCUAUCCACAAGUUUGCU